rnacentral:rRNA from 1 species
UACGUAGGGUGCGAGCGUUGUCCGGAAUUACUGGGCGUAAAGAGCUCGUAGGUGGUUUGUCGCGUUGUUCGUGAAAACCGGGGGCUUAACCCUCGGCGUGCGGGCGAUACGGGCAGACUUGAGUACUGCAGGGGAGACUGGAAUUCCUGGUGUAGCGGUGGAAUGCGCAGAUAUCAGGAGGAACACCAGUGGCGAAGGCGACUACCUGGGCUGUUUCUUGACGCUGAGGCGCGAAAGCUAGGGGAGCAAACGGG